AUGGGGACUUCUUCAGGUGCGAAUUUCCAUCAACAGCCUCCGCCGCAGGGGAUGCUGCCGCCUCGCCAUGGUGCCCGGGCCCCGAGCCUCCAGACUUCCCUCUCAUUGGCCUCGUCGGAACAGGUUGGCUCGCCUGAAAUGCAGGAACCUGUGUCCAAUUCUGACCAGGGCCAUGACUCUGCCACCGAAAGUGCAAGUUCGAGGGAGACCUGGCCUGUAGAUCCGGAACAUAGCAAUGCUGCUGCUGCUAGUAGUGGCGGUGCUGUGAAAAAGGUGGAGAUGGAAAAGGACAUCAGAAAUGGUAUCCCCAAGUUGCAGGUUAUUCGCGGAAGCUCCCGCAUCGAUAGGGUGUCACUGAGGGAGAUUGCGCGGGAGAGAGUGGACCUAGUUGUCGAGAAAAUGAAGGUAAUGCCAGAGGAGCACCUGGAGGAGAUAAAAAAUGAGCUCAGGUCGAUUCUGGAGGGGACAGGGGGCUCUCAUCAUAUUGAGGAGUUUCUGUAUCUGCAGAAGUUUGUCCAGGGCAGAGGUGAUUUGACACCAACUAUGCUUUCAAUGGCCCAUCAUGUCCAACUGGAGAUCCUCGUGGCAAUCAAGACUGGAAUCCAGGCGUUUUUGCACCCCAGCGUCACCAUUCCCCAAAGCCACCUGGUGGAGGUCUUCUUGUAUAAGAGGUGCCGGAACAUUGCUUGCCAGAGUGCUCUCCCGGCUGAGGAGUGCAGAUGCAAUGUAUGUGCUAACAGAAAUGGGUUUUGCAACCUUUGCAUGUGUGUGAUUUGCAACAAGUUUGAUUUUGAGGUCAACACAUGCCGAUGGGUUGGGUGCGAUUUCUGUUCCCAUUGGACGCACACCGACUGUGCGAUUCGUGUUGGCCAGAUUGGGACAGGGCAAUCAAUUAAGAGCGGCACCGGUCAUGCCGAAAUGCUUUUUAGGUGCCAGGCUUGCCAGAAGACAUCAGAAUUAUUCGGUUGGGUUAAGGAUGUGUUUCAACAAUGUGCUCCUGGUUGGGAUAGGGAUGCCUUAGUACGAGAGCUUGAGUUUGUUUGUAAGAUAUUUCGUCUAAGCGAAGACCCAAAAGGAAGAAAUUUGUUCAGGAAAUGUGCGAAUCUGAUUGAAAGAUUGAGGAAUAGUUCUCCUGAUUCUGUCAAUCCUAGGAUGAUACUGCAUGCACUUCGAGUAACUGACGGAUGGAUGCUGUACUAUGCUUAUGUUUUCACAGAGCUUGAGAUGGAUUCCCCAAAGAGCUCUGAAAAUGAAGAAUCGGGACGCUUGAUCACUCCCCAGGAGGCAUGUAAUCGUAUUGCAGAGGUAGUCCAAGAAGCUGUCAGAAAGAUGGAGCUUGUUGCUGAAGAGAAGAUGGGCCUGUACAAAAAGGCUCGCACCGCUGUGGAGGCCUGUGACCGUGAGCUUGAUGAGAAGGCCAGACAAGUUCAGGAGUUCAAGGCCGAGAGGCUGCGGAAGAAGCAGCAGGUGGAGGAGCUCGAGAGCAUUGUUCGGCUGAAACAGGCCGAGGCUGAGAUGUUCCAGCUCAAGGCAAGUGAGGCCCGCCAGGAGGCUGAGAGGCUCCAGAGCAUCGCGCUUGCCAAAUCUGAGAGGGCUGAGCAGGACUACGCUAGCCUCUACCUCAAGCGGCGCCUGGAGGAAGCGGAGGCAGAGAAGCAGUUUCUUUUUGAGAAAAUAAAGCUUCAGGACGGCCAUAGGCCCCCGCAGGCGAGCAGCAGCGUGCCUGGUGAUUCCUCUCAGGCUCCCUCUCAGGCGCUGAUGCUGUCCAAAAUUCAGGACCUUCUCAAGAACGUUCGUACCAUGCCGACAAAGUCGGAGGCGCAUUCAAAAUAA
rnacentral:rRNA from 1 species